AAAUGAUCUUUUCCAUCUGAUCCAUUCUCAUCGGCACCAUUAUCAUUUAUACUACUGAGUGGCAAUAUAAGCUUAAUCAUUUUAAUUUUUGAGUUUUCAAUCUGUUCUUGCCAUUUUCUGCUUUCAAACUCUGUUGAUAGUUAUUGGUAUUUUGAUGUUUAGUUAAUGCAUUCUAUGGUAUCAGCAGUUAUUCUUUUGCAAUUGGCACGAUGAUAAAUUGAAGAUGAUGAUCAUUCUAUGCUAGUGUUGACUCUGGGAUGAUAACUUGAUCAUUUAGACCAUAAAACUUAUUCGGACUUUUGUUUCCGAUAUGGGAUAUGGUUGUCAAAAUUGUGAUUCUACUUGCGAAGCACAAUUCUGCAAGUUUGUAAGGCUGGAUGAGCAGCAUAAAAUCAGAAAAUAUGCAGAUCCCAGCAUGAAACAACUCAACCAAAAAUCACUCCACUACAAUCUUGUGGCUGAAAUGUGUGAUUUGAAUAUGGAAUUUGAAACUAACCCAUCCCAUUGGUGCAACUAAAAUCUGAAUUUCUUUGCCUCCUUGCAACUACAAUUGCUGCUUGCUCCAUGCAAUUGCAUAUGCUGCAAGUCGAUCUCAUUGCUUCUGCCAACCCCCUUUUUCUCUGAUUGCUGUGUUGUAGAUGCUUCAAAUUGGUUAAUUGCAACUGUCCCUGUUCCAUCGAUUCUGUGCUGCAUUUGGGGGUGCAAGUGAUGAUGGAAAGUUAUAAUAUCCAAUAAUAUUUAAUAUCUAGAAACAGGGAAAAGAAAA